CUAUGAUCAGAGCUUUAGGAGUGCCUGGCACCCUUUUACCGUAAUUCUUUUAAAUGUUGUUCUUCUGUACAACUGUGUAUUUUAACAUAAUUUUGGACCAUCGUGGUAAGGGAAACACUGAAUUAUGUAACUAGAAAGAUACAAACAAUUCUGAUGAAACU